UUGCUUCGUUGAUGUUCAUGCGGAGUGGAGAUUCCAUCGCUGUCAGAUGUCGACGUGACGAUUUCUCAAUUUGUAGCUUACCGCGAGGUUUUAAAUUCCUUCUGCCGCGCCGGAUCCACAUUCCCUUGAUCGAUCGAAAGUGAGUUUUCGUGUUCGACUUUCGGUGCCGCGGUGCUUGGCUGGGUGUGCGACGUGAUCGACGUUUCAGUUUUGUUGAGAUUGGUGCAGGACAAGAAUCGGAGGGGAGAUGCAUACAGGGCGAAAGUUUUGGACUCGAGUGUUUUUGGGAAAUGUGUCAUUUGUGGUGUUGGGCAAGAUGUUAAGAGUAAUAUAUAUUGUAGCUAAGGAUUACUAUGGAGGAGCCUGAUCAUUUACCCCUGGCAAAAGAAGGUACUCUUUCGCAUCUGAUCAUCAAGGCGUCAAUCCGUGAUGCUGCUAGUGCUGCAGGUUCAGGAUGAGGUCAAGGAGGAGGUUGAACGGGACUUACCGAAUUCAUCGUCGGAGAUUGAAGAUAGAGGUGCUUCGAAGGAUAGCAUGAAAACAAUGGAGGGUCACUAGUAAUCUGCUGGAGGCUCUGAUGAAGACUCUACUGAAUGCUGCAAUGGCAAUGAUACAACAAAUGUUAACGUUGCGGAUAGGGGUGAAGCUGAAGAUUGAGGCAUCCAGUGCGACUGAAAAGGGGUACGACGAAGAGGGUGGGUUGGACCCAGAUGUCGAUGAGUUCUUACAGUUCGAAAACUCCAAGGACGAGGAAGAAACUCCUCCACAUCAGGACAUUCUAAUGUACAUGUCUAUCAUCUAAUUAGUUGGUAUGUCCUAUGAACUGCACAAGCUGUGAGCUGACCACUCAAAUUCACGUCUAGAGAUCUCAUUUCUAAAUGCAUCGAAGCUCGAAGAAAUAGUCUUGAUGUAUUUUGCGGUUCAGAAGCAGUAGGUUUAGUGUCAACAGUCGCCCGAUAUGUAAUCUUUGUGGAGGUGGUAUUAGAUUCUUUAAAUCACGAAUACAGUAGGUGUUUGGUUCACUAGUUCUUCCAAUCAGUACCAACUCGACCGGUAGGUUCUCCUCAAUAAGCUUAUUAUGUAGUUCAUUCUCAAGCACCUCAUAGGAAAGAAGUCACCAUUGUUACGCAACCAAUACCCAUGUAUUAUAUGUGAAAACGCAGUAUUUCAUGCUAAUUUAAUCAAUUUUUUCACCCCUAGA